rnacentral:rRNA from 1 species
GGAUGAACGCUGGCGGCGUGCCUAAUACAUGCAAGUCGAACGAAACUUCUUUAUCACCGAGUGCUUGCACUCACCGAUAAAGAGUUGAGUGGCGAACGGGUGAGUAACACGUGGGCAACCUGCCCAAAAGAGGGGGAUAACACUUGGAAACAGGUGCUAAUACCGCAUAACCAUAGUUACCGCAUGGUAACUAUGUAAAAGGUGGCUAUACUACCGCUUUUGGAUGGGCCCGCGGCGCAUUAGCUAGUUGGUAGGGUAAAGGCUUACCAAGGCAAUGAUGCGUAGCCGAAUUGAGAGGGUGAUCGGCCACAUUGGGACUGAGACACGGCCCAAACUCCUACGGGAGGCAGCAGUAGGGAAUCUUCCACAAUGGGCGAAAGCCUGAUGGAGCAACGCCGCGUGGGUGAAGAAGGUCUUCGGAUCGUAAAACCCUGUUGUUAGAGAAGAAAGUGCGUGAGAGUAACUGUUCACGUUUCGACGGUAUCUAACCAGAAAGCCACGGCUAACUACGUG